UACAGAGGCCCCGAGCGUUGUUCGGAUUUACUGGGCGUAAAGCGCAUGUAGGUGGUGACGUAAGUCAGAUGUGAAAGCCCUGGGCUUAACCCGGGAAUUGCAUUUGAUACUGCGUUGCUAGAGUGCGGAAGAGGAAAGUGGAAUUCCUGGUGUAGGAGUGAAAUCCGUAGAUAUCAGGAGGAAUACCGAUGGCGAAGGCAACUUUCUGGUCCGCAACUGACACUGAGAUGCGAAAGCGUGGGGAUCAAACAGG
rnacentral:rRNA from 1 species